rnacentral:lncRNA from 1 species
UGUGCUUGCUUUUGUAAUUUCAUUGUUUUUCUUGUUAAACUAUUUCUUUUUUGCAUUGCAUACAAUUUUAUAAAAUUUUUUUUAUGUUGUAUCCAUGCUUAACAGCAAUCUUCUUUAAAAAGUCUUAACUCUUUCUGUAGAGCAAUGAAGUGCAUAGAGAUGGUGAAUGCUCAUUCUAUAAGUAUCUGGAAACUUGCCAUUUUGUAUCUGCUGCAAUUAUAUGAAAUGCUAUGGAUAUACAUCAGUAUGUAUGUUGAUAUCCUAUAAACUUCUAUACAGUAGUUCUCACUAUUUUUGUUUAUGAUAGUGUCCAAGAAGUUUACUAUUUUCUUGCUGACUUUUUCUAUUUCUAGGGUUAAAUCAUUAUUGUUAGUAUUAAUAUCUUCAACUAUAUUUAUGCAUAUUUUUCAUCAUCUAUGAUGAAAAUAUCAUUUAUAUGGAAUUUGUAUUUUCUUUAUUAGCUGAUAACGUUUUCUUCAGUUGUUCUGAUUAAUAAUAUUGCUAUGGGACCAGCUUGCAUGGAUAGUAUAGGGCACCCUCUUUUCUGAGUGUAAUAAGUGUCACUUAAUUUGAAUUAGGAAUUUUUACUUGCAAUUUGCACUGAAUUAGAUAGAGUUUUAAACUUGAAUGGAAUGUUUAUCAAAUAGUAAUAGUAGUCUAGUGAUAAGUUACUGGGUUUCUAUUACAGAGGGUUUAGGUAAUAUACUCAGGUAUAGUGACUUGAAGUCCAUGAUAACUAUUACAUAUUCAUCAAAAAGGGAAAUUUCUAGCUUUAUCAUCAAUUCUUUGCUACUAUUAAUACUAUAUUUGUGUCUUCUCAGUUUUUCUUGAUGCUUGGGCUUUGUGUUUUUUAGCUUGAAUGUGGGUGCAGAAAAUUUUUCUACUAUUGAUCUGAAUUCUAAUUCUGGUUUGUGAAAGCCUUAAAUCAGAUUUCAGAAAUGACAAAAGAUUUAGUAGAGAGAGAGAUCCAGUCUCAGCAUCCAUCUGGCACAGUUAGUCUCACCAGUGAUGCUAGACUAAUAGAAAAGCUUAAGCCCAAGAUUUGAGAUUAAGCCUUAUGAUUUAAAAGUUCAGAAACAGCUCUAUUCCCUCCACAUGAUUCAUCAACUAACCAAUGAACAUGAGAUGGAAAGCUCUUUGUUUAUGUGCUUGCAGACAUUGUCAUUUUGCAGAUCAUAAAGGGCAUUUAGCCCAAGCUGAAUUGUUGUUUAUAGUAUGUGCUGCAGGCAAGCCUGUUUUGAGAAUGUCAAGGAACAUCUUAUAGAAGAUUACCAAAGAGAACUGAAAGGCUACUGAAAACAACAUGGAUACAGUAAGCAAGUUUGUAUGGAACAUUAUGUUUCUUGGAGUACCCACUGGCUACAGGAGACCAGAAAUGGGAAUGAGAGCAUGAACAGAAGCAUGAUUGCUACCUUAAGUGUUAGGCAGAGGGUGCAAAUUUGUACUCUGUGAGAUAUUUGCUGAACAAAAGAGUGAUCAGUGGUUGAAGCAGAUUCUACAUCUUAGAAAAAGAUGGGAAAACUAGUAUUGAGACUGCUAUAGCAAGAAUUAAUGAGCCAAGCAAAAACAAAAUGUCUGCCUGAUUUGGGUAUGAAACAUUCAGAUCCUAUAAAGAUAUGAUCGUCAUUCCAAUCUCCUUGAAUAAAGAAAGGAAGUUGAAGAGAACCAAGGAUGUUUGACAGCUCUUGUUCAGAUACAUUACUUUGAAGGAUAUAGUUAUUAUAAAGAGCAAGAAUCAUGUUGGAAUCCAGAAACUUAGCAUAUAGAAUUUUCAUUCAAAGUUCACUAAACAGAUAAGCAAUAAUACCACUGAUUAGCACCUUGAAACAUCUGUGAGAAGAACAUCGUCCCUAUUAGUCAAACAUUAUGAAAAACUGUGAAAUCUGGGAUUGAGAAUUGAAUCCCAGAGGAGAACCAAAUUUCCUGGAUAAAGAUAAUGUUGGUUUGGAAUAGCCAUUCCAAAUUAAGCAAUGCAUUCCAUUGGAGAGUAAAACUAUGAUACUAUGAUAUGAUAUCAAUAGUAUAUAUGUAGGCAAUUAUUCAUGUUUAGAUUUAGUGAUUAAUCUGAGGUUAAUUUUAAUCCAUGAUCAGUCACAAAAAAUGAAGAUGCUGAGCAACCUGAGGAAGAAACCAACCGAGGAACUAUCAAUAAUUCUGAAUAAUUUGUGCCCAUCCAGUUAUCACCAGAAUCUGUCCUAUCUCCAAACUUGAGAAUUACCAAUAAUAUUUGCAACUAUAUGACUUGUUUUGAAUAUUUGUGCUCAAUAAGAGAGAGUUUUUGAAAUCUUUUGAUUUUGUGGAGAGGAUGGGGUAGAUAAUAUAAUAUGGGACUCUCAAUCAGACAGAAUUGACUGACAGGAUCUGUUGUUCUCUAUCACAGCAUAAAAGUGUUUCAUUUUUUCAGUGAAUGCAGAGACUAAUGCUUUUAUAGCAUGAAGAUAAUUAUCCCAACCUAUAAUGGACUUCUCUGGAAUUUGUGGAAUGAUUGGACUUGCCACAGAAUGCUGUGAUGGUCUGGGAGAAGAUUGAAGUGAUUGAUUAUGAAAAGAUGGUGCCAAAGAAGGUAACACUGUAUGAUUGCUACAAUCAAACCAUAGUAGUAUGGCUGUACUUCUAGUUUAUAAGCCAUAAUGAAUAUGGAACUGUAUUCAAUACAAGGAAUUCAAAUUAAGCAGGAACAAAUAUGAAAUUUAAUAUUAUUAUUAUAUAAAACUAAUAACAAUAUGUGAUAA